UACGUAGGCAGCGAGCGUUGUUCGGAGUUACUGGGCGUAAAGCGUGCGUAGGCGGUGUCUUAAGUUUGUUGUGAAAUCUCCCGGCUUAACCGGGAGGGUGCGGCGAAUACUGGAGAUGCUGGAGUGCCGGAGAGGUAAGCGGAAUUCCUGGUGUAGCGGUGAAAUGCGUAGAUAUCAGGAGGAACACCUGCGGUGUAGACGGCUUACUGGACCGUAACUGACGCUGAGGCACGAAAGCGUGGGUAGCAAACAGG
rnacentral:rRNA from 1 species